GCGGCCGUGACCCUGCUGGAAUGCGGGCGGGACCUCCAGCCCCCCGGGGGAUCCCUGCGCCUCCUCUGCCGAGGGUCCGGCUUCGAUUUUGGCAGUUUUGGCAUGGGCUGGUAUCGACAGAGGCCUGGACAAGGGCUGGAGUACAUCGCAAGGAUCAGUGACAGUGGAGGUUACACCAAGUACGCGUCAUCGGUCAAGGGCCGGGUCACGAUCUCCAGGGACAACGGGUGGAACUCGGUGACGCUGACCCUGAACAACCUCAAGGACGAGGAUUCCGGAUCCUAUUUCUGUGUCAAAGCUCCUGGUGGUGGUGGUGCUCCUGCUGAUUAUAUUGAUGGUGCUUGCGUAGCUGGAUCCAUCUUUCUUGAUCGCUGCGACGAAUUCCAGCGUCUGCCCGUGUCUCUGGCGGAUCCAAGUCCCGGGCAGAAGCUGGAGCCAGUUGCAAGUAUCAGCAAAUGUGGCAGCACCUACUACACGCCAUCGGUCUAG